rnacentral:rRNA from 3 species
GGGUUGUGAGGUUAAGCGACUAAGCGUACACGGUGGAUGCCCUGGCAGUCAGAGGCGAUGAAGGGCGUGCUAAUCUGCGAUAAGCGCCGGUAAGGUGAUAUGAACCGUUAUAACCGGCGAUACCCGAAUGGGGAAACCCAGUGUGACUCGUCACACUAUCAUUAACUGAAUCCAUAGGUUAAUGAGGCGAACCGGGGGAACUGAAACAUCUAAGUACCCCGAGGAAAAGAAAUCAACCGAGAUUCCCCCAGUAGCGGCGAGCGAACGGGGAGGAGCCCAGAGCCUGAAUCAGCAUGUGUGUUAGUGGAAGCGUCUGGAAAGGCGCGCGAUACAGGGUGACAGCCCCGUACACAAAAGCGCAUGUGCUGUGAGCUCGAUGAGUAGGGCGGGACACGUGGUAUCCUGUCUGAAUAUGGGGGGACCAUCCUCCAAGGCUAAAUACUCCUGACUGACCGAUAGUGAACCAGUACCGUGAGGGAAAGGCGAAAAGAACCCCGGCGAGGGGAGUGAAAAAGAACCUGAAACCGUG